CCCGGUGUAGCGGUGAAAUGCGUAGAGAUCGGGAGGAAUACCAGUGGCGAAGGCGGCCUUCUGGACUGACACUGACGCUGAGGUGCGAAAGCGUGGGUAGCAAACAGGAUUAGAUACCCUGGUAGUCCACGCCGUAAACGAUGUCGACUAGCCGUUGGGGUCCUCGAGACCUUUGUGGCGCAGUUAACGCGAUAAGUCGACCGCCUGGGGAGUACGGCCGCAAGGUUAAAACUCAAAUGAAUUGACGGGGGCCCGCACAAGCGGUGGAGCAUGUGGUUUAAUUCGAUGCAACGCGAAGAACCUUACCUACUCUUGACAUCGAGCGAACCAUCCAGAGAUGGAUGGGUGCCUUCGGGAACGCUCAGACAGGUGCUGCAUGGCCGUCGUCAGCUCGUGUUGUGAAAUGUUGGGUUAAGUCCCGUAACGAGCGCAACCCUUGUCCCUAUUUGCCAGCGAUUCGGUCGGGAACUCUAGGGAGACUGCCGGUGACAAACCGGAGGAAGGUGGGGACGACGUCAGGUCAUCAUGGCCCUUACGAGUAGGGCUACACACGUGCUACAAUGGCCGGUACAAUGGGCUGCAAUCCCGCGAGGGGGAGCUAAUCUCAUAAAGCCGGUCUCAGUCCGGAUCGGAGUCUGCAACUCGACUCCGUGAAGUCGGAAUCGCUAGUAAUCGUGCAUCAGAAUGGCACGGUGAAUACGUUCCCGGGCCUUGUACACACCGCCCGUCACACCAUGGGAGUGGACUGCACCAGAAGUGGUUAGCC
rnacentral:rRNA from 1 species